GACGAACGCUGGCGGCGUGCUUAACACAUGCAAGUCGAACGGAGUGGCGAACGGGUGAGUAACACGUGGGUGAUCUGCCUUGCACUUCGGGAUAAGCUUGGGAAACUGGGUCUAAUACCGGAUAGUGCAAGAUGAGCUCGCGGCCUAUCGGCUUGUUGGUGGGGUAAUGGCCUACCAAGGCGUCGACGGGUAGCCGGCCUGAGAGGGUGUACGGCGACAUGAGGACUGGGAUACGGCCCAGACUCCUACGGGAGGCAGCGGGGGGGAGUAUUACACAAUGGGCGGGAGCCAGAUGCAGGGACGCCGCGUGGGGGAUGAAGGCCUUCGGGUUGUAAACUCCUUUCGACAGAAACGCGGUACCUAUAUAAGAAGCACCGGCUAACUACGUGCCAGCAGCCGCGGUAAUUC
rnacentral:rRNA from 1 species